rnacentral:sRNA from 1 species
UUUUUUGUUUAUUUUAGACACAUCCCAACCCAAAGUAUAAGCGCCCACCUAGUCCUAUCUAGUCCGGAUAACGCGAACUAGAACUACAUGAGACACUAUCUCUGUCGUUACGAACCUAACAAUUUCUACCAAGCUUAAUCGGAACAAGACCUCACAAACACUCACAAGUGAUAUAGGGCUUGAAAGAAAGUUUAGGUUUGGGUUCGGGUUUAACUGCUCUAAUAAGGAGAGUCAGCUACUUGGAUUAACAAGAGUGGUUAAAAUGAGUAAGAAAAUCCAAGU